AUUAAAGCUCCCUUCGGGGAGUGCAUAAAGUGGCGCACGGGNAGUAACACGUAAGUAAUCUACCCUCGGGUGGGGAAUAACGUUCGGAAACGGACGCUAAUACCGCAUAAUGCAGCGGCACCGCAAGGUGACAGUUGUUAAAGAUUUAUUGCCUGGGGAGGAGCUUGCGGCAGAUUAGCUUGUUGGUAAGGUAACGGCUUACCAAGGCGACGAUCUGUAUCCGGUCUAAGAGGACGGUCGGACACACUGACACUGAAUAACGGGUCAGACUCCUACGGGAGGCAGCAGUCGGGAAUUUUGGGCAAUGGGGGAAACCCUGACCCAGCAACGCCGCGUGAAGGAUGAAGUAUUUCGGUAUGUAAACUUCGAAAGAAUAGGAAGAAUUAAUGACGGUACUAUUUAUAAGGUCCGGCUAACUACGUGCCAGCAGCCGCGGUAAUACGUAGGGACCAAGCGUUGUUCGGAUUUACUGGGCGUAAAGGGCGCGUAGGCGGCGCGGUAAGUCACUUGUGAAAUCUCUGAGCUUAACUCAGAACGGCCAAGUGAUACUGCAGUGCUAGAGUGUGGAAGGGGCAAUCGGAAUUCUUGGUGUAGCGGUGAAAUGCGUAGAUAUCAAGAGGAACACCUGAGGUGAAGACGGGUUGCUGGGCCAACACUGACGCUGAUGCGCGAAAGCCAGGGGAGCAAACGGGAUUAGAUACCCCGGUAGUCCUGGCCCUAAACGAUGAAUACUUGGUGUCUGGAGUUUUAAUGCUCCGGGUGCCGUCGCUAACGUUUUUAGUAUUCCGCCUGGGGAGUACGCUCGCAAGAGUG
rnacentral:rRNA from 1 species